rnacentral:lncRNA from 1 species
AGGAUAACUAAACUUUUCUGCCAACUACUAUUCCCACUGCUCCAACCUCACACUGCAGCUAAUCCACUCCCUACAAGGAUGGUCGAGAUUUUCCUCCACUUAAAUGAAUUCCCUCCCUGGCUUCCACACUGCCCUCAGGAUGAAAACCCAAGUUCCUCUCAGCUUAGUUUAGAAAGCUCUUCACCAGGUCAUUUCAAAGCCUUAGAAACUGGCCUCAACAGUAACUGCAGGAAGCAUACUUGUCAGAUCUGAGCAAUAAAAAUACACCCUGACUGCUGAGCCUGGAGCACGGGAGAGCCUACAGCUAACCAGGGAAGACAUGCUUUAGAUAAAGUCCUUCCAACAUCUUGCAACCUGGAUAACAGCCAAGUCCUAUUCAUCCCUCUCAACCUGGCUCUUCCAUGCCCUCCUGCAAGGCCUUCCCCAGCCCUUCUCUGUGGAUGCCCCUCCUCCGUUUUGAAGCAGACUGGAUACCAGCCCCACCCCGCCGCCAUGCUUCUUUUAUCCUUGCAGCUUCACUCCUGAGGCUGGCGAGACCACGAACCCACCAGGAGAAAUGAACUCCAGACGGGAAGAAUAAACAACUCCAGAUGCACCACCUUAAGAGCUGUAACACGCACCGCCAAGGUUUGCAGAUUCAUUCCUGAAGCCAGCAAGACCACGAACCCACCAGAAGGAAGAAACUCUGAACACGUCCGAACAUCAGAAGGAACAAACUCUGGAUACACCAUCUUUAAGAACUGUAACACUCACCACGAGGGUCCAUGACUUCAUUCUUGAAGUCAGUGAGACCAAGAACCCACCAAUUCUGGACACAAUUUCAUUUGGUGAGCAGUCCAGAUUACAUGUGUGUACACUGUAAUGAUCAGCUAAGGACUGACUGCUUUUAGCUCCUUCACCCGUUCUCACCUCUGAGGUUCAGUAAUAAAUGGCUCCUACCAACUAACUGAAGUAUCAAUCAAAAUCUUAAAGGUAUUCAUUCAUUAUACGGUAUUUACACCCCCCUUAAAAUGCAAAAUUUAUAGUUUUAUUAAUACAAACAUCCAGACAAGAAAAUAAGCAGACUAGCAAGAUAAAACCAGAGCCUUCAAAAAUUACACAAAGCAUACAAAUAUGUAGGCCAAAUGGUUAAAGUGAGCCAUAAACUUGGCCCUACACUCUAGUGACAAA